AAAUUGAAGAGUUUGAUCAUGGCUCAGAUUGAACGCUGGCGGCAGGCCUAACACAUGCAAGUCGAGCGGUAGCACAGAGAGCUUGCUCUCGGGUGACGAGCGGCGGACGGGUGAGUAAUGUCUGGGAAACUGCCUGAUGGAGGGGGAUAACUACUGGAAACGGUAGCUAAUACCGCAUAACGUCGCAAGACCAAAGUGGGGGACCUUCGGGCCUCAUGCCAUCAGAUGUGCCCAGAUGGGAUUAGCUAGUAGGUGGGGUAAUGGCUCACCUAGGCGACGAUCCCUAGCUGGUCUGAGAGGAUGACCAGCCACACUGGAACUGAGACACGGUCCAGACUCCUACGGGAGGCAGCAGUGGGGAAUAUUGCACAAUGGGCGCAAGCCUGAUGCAGCCAUGCCGCGUGUAUGAAGAAGGCCUUCGGGUUGUAAAGUACUUUCAGCGAGGAGGAAGGCGUUAAGGUUAAUAACCUUAGCGAUUGACGUUACUCGCAGAAGAAGCACCGGCUAACUCCGUGCCAGCAGCCGCGGUAAUACGGAGGGUGCAAGCGUUAAUCGGAAUUACUGGGCGUAAAGCGCACGCAGGCGGUCUGUCAAGUCGGAUGUGAAAUCCCCGGGCUCAACCUGGGAACUGCAUUCGAAACUGGCAGGCUAGAGUCUUGUAGAGGGGGUAGAAUUCCAGGUGUAGCGGUGAAAUGCGUAGAGAUCUGGAGGAAUACCGGUGGCGAAGGCGGCCCCCUGGACAAAGACUGACGCUCAGGUGCGAAAGCGUGGGGAGCAAACAGGAUUAGAUACCCUGGUAGUCCACGCCGUAAACGAUGUCGACUUGGAGGUUGUGCCCUUGAGGCGUGGCUUCCGGAGCUAACGCGUUAAGUCGACCGCCUGGGGAGUACGGCCGCAAGGUUAAAACUCAAAUGAAUUGACGGGGGCCCGCACAAGCGGUGGAGCAUGUGGUUUAAUUCGAUGCAACGCGAAGAACCUUACCUACUCUUGACAUCCAGAGAACUUAGCAGAGAUGCUUUGGUGCCUUCGGGAACUCUGAGACAGGUGCUGCAUGGCUGUCGUCAGCUCGUGUUGUGAAAUGUUGGGUUAAGUCCCGCAACGAGCGCAACCCUUAUCCUUUGUUGCCAGCGGUCCGGCCGGGAACUCAAAGGAGACUGCCAGUGAUAAACUGGAGGAAGGUGGGGAUGACGUCAAGUCAUCAUGGCCCUUACGAGUAGGGCUACACACGUGCUACAAUGGCAUAUACAAAGAGAAGCGACCUCGCGAGAGCAAGCGGACCUCAUAAAGUAUGUCGUAGUCCGGAUUGGAGUCUGCAACUCGACUCCAUGAAGUCGGAAUCGCUAGUAAUCGUAGAUCAGAAUGCUACGGUGAAUACGUUCCCGGGCCUUGUACACACCGCCCGUCACACCAUGGGAGUGGGUUGCAAAAGAAGUAGGUAGCUUAACCUUCGGGAGGGCGCUUACCACUUUGUGAUUCAUGACUGGGGUGAAGUCGUAACAAGGUAACCGUAGGGGAACCUGCGGUUGGAUCACCUCCUUA
rnacentral:rRNA from 1 species